UACAGAGGUCCCCAAGCGUUGUUCGGAUUCACUGGGCGUAAAGGGUGCGUAGGCGGUCGGGCAAGUCUGAUGUGAAAUCUCCGGGCCCAACCCGGAAAAUGCAUUGGAAACUGCCUGGCUAGAGGAUUGGAGGGGGGACUGGAAUUCUCGGUGUAGCAGUGAAAUGCGUAGAUAUCGAGAGGAACACCAGUGGCGAAGGCGAGUCCCUGGACAAUUCCUGACGCUGAGGCACGAAGGCCGGGGGAGCAAACAGGAUUAGAAACCCCGGUAGU
rnacentral:rRNA from 1 species